ensembl:lncRNA
UUUGAUAUGUAGUUUGCUAAUGAUGAUAAGGCCAAGUGUUUGUGAGAAGAGAGUAUGUGAGACUGAUGUCGAGUCUCAGCUAGCCUUGUGACUUGUCACAGUUUUGCAGGUGCUUGUAAUAUGCCAGAGUUUCUUAAUUAGAAGGUGCCACUGACUCCUGUUUUGCAGUCCUGGAGGUGUUGGUGUGAAUGUGUGUUUGGUUGAGGCAAAGGACGUCAAAAUAAUGUUGGGUUGACGUUGGACAUGACAUCAGACAGACGUGUCAUUGUGGUUGAGAAUGAAAAUCGGGUUGUUGAUUUUAUUUGACACCAAUUUGCAACCAAAAUUUAACCAGAUAUCAAUGUCUUAUGUUGUGUGCCUGCUGGGUUUGCUUUUUUGGAAGAAAAAGCAAGAAGCUCCUCCCCUUACCCCACCCCUAAACCUAAUCAUCAGUGGAGAGAUUGCAUGAAAACAUAAAUGCUAUUGUUCUAAUUCAUACACAUUAACUGCUAAUUUACCAAAAUAUGCAAUAGUAAUACGAAUUACAUGUGGUCCCAGCAUUUUUUCAAUUGGUUCUAAUUGGAAUGGGUUGAAACUGUUACGAUUUUCAGGACAUUUUUUGCAUGACAAACAAUUUUGGUUUUUGUGUUGGGUCGACACUUGAUGUCCAAAGUAAUGACCUGAAGCAAAACCAAUUUAGAACCACUGAUCAAGAAUAUUCUAGAAGGCAUUAGAGUGAACCGUGCAAUAAAAAUUUCCAUUCGAUAAUUCCUUUGUUUAUUAAAACCCUGUGGCACAUAAAAAAUGAAUACAUUGAAAUGGCCCUGAUGCAUAUUACUGCAAAAAUUCAAAUCAGGAUUGAAACACUAUAGGAGACCCAAGAUGUUUCUUUAAACUCUUAUCGAAUAAUACCCACUGCAUUCGUGUAAUAUCCGAUGACUCUUGUUCAUGCUGAGAUUAGAAAUUAGAAGUGAUGCCGAUACUGAAGUCCGGCUUCUGCAAACCACUAUCACAGAAACAUCUCAGACAGCUGAGAUUCAGAUCGAUAACACGCCUGUUGUAAACAAAGCUGCCCUGCUUCCCCUGGCCCAAGAGUUGCCCUGGUAUAUCAAGGCAGCUGGUGAUACUUCAAACCUUUAUAUACAGGUUUUUCAUCAUCCUCUUAAUCUCGGGAGGAAGAUGACACAGUUGGAUAAACUAAAAGGUGUGCAUCUGUAAAGGGUGUGUGUUCGUUAUCACCAAGAGAUCUGAAAGUGCUGUCUGCAGUGCUUGUUUGUCCAUACAGGGGAAGGGGACAUAUUCCCAGCCUUAUUUUCUCAUCUUUACUGGAGCAUUAAAAGCUGUGUUGGAGACCUAAAAGUUCUUUGACUCACUGUCGAACUUGAGUAUAUUGGUCCUAUCACACUCAGAUGAUGUCUGGCUCUUCCCUGAGCACCAGAAAGGUUCAUUUAAAGGUGUUAAACCCAAG